GGGGGUGGCUGGUGAUGGCGGCGGCGGCGGCGGCGGCUGGCGGCCUACGCUGGGUGCUCGCCGCGCUCUGUUUGGGCUGCGCUGCUGGGGGGGACACGUCAGGCCCGCGGGUACUGGGUUUCUGCUUGGAAGAGGACGGAGACGGGACAGAGGGUCCCGUGUGGGCCCGGGGCCGGGUGGUCCGGGCCGCGCCCGGAGCCGCCUUCCGCUUGCGGCUCUUCGGCUCCGGUUUCGCCAACCGCUCGUGGCCCUGGGUGGCCUUCGCUCCGGCGGGCGCGGACUGCCCGGAGGGGGGAGGGGACUCGGAAUCGGGGGACGCUCGGGGGGGAGCGGGCGCGCCCCUGAGCGUGAACCCCGAGGCCGUGCGGCCUCACUCGGCGCUGCUCGCGGUGCGCGUGGAGCCCGGCGGGCCCGCGGGGGGCGCGCGCUAUCGCUUGUGCAGCCGCGAGGGGCCCGAGGGGCGGUGGGCGCCCACGGCCGAGGGGGACUCGCUCGCCGUUGAGGAGGCGCCCCUGUUGCCCUGGGCGCUGGGUCUGCUGGUGGCCGCGCUGUUGGGGCUGGCGGCGCUGGCUCGCGGGCUGCAGCUGAGCGCCCUGGCCCUGGAGCCCGCCGAGGUGCAGGUGCUGCGCGAGAGCGGCUCGGAGGCGGAGCGGGCAGCCGCGCGGCGCUUGGAGCCCCUGCGGCGCUGGGGCAGCUUCGCCCUGUGCGCGCUACUGCUCCUGGCCAGUCUCGCCCAGGCCGCACUCGCCGUGCUUCUCUAUCGCGCCGUGGGCCAAAGAGCCGUGCCCGCCGUGCUGGGCAGCGCGGGCCUCGUUUACCUGGUGGGCGAGGUGGCGCCUGCUGCCGUCAGCGGCCGCUGGGCCCUGACCCUCGCGCCGCGCGCGCUGGGGCUCACCCGCCUGGCGGUGCUGCUCACUUUCCCCGUGGCCUUGCCCGUGGGCAAGCUCUUGGAGCUGGCCCUGCGCCAGGAAGGCGGCCGGCUGCGGGAGCGGGUGGUGGAUCUGGCCCGGGGCACCGACCCUUACAACGAGUUCGUGAGGGAGGAGUUCAGCAAGGGGGCUCUGCGGUGCAAAACGGUGGAGGACGUGCUCACCCCGCUGAAGGACUGCUUCAUGCUGGACGCUUCGGCCGUCCUGGACUUCGGCGUCAUGUCCACCAUCAUGCAGAGCGGCUACACGCGCAUCCCCGUGUACGAGGAAGAGCGCUCCAAUAUAGUGGACAUGCUCUACCUCAAGGACUUGGCCUUCGUGGACCCGGAGGACUGCACCCCGCUCAGCACCAUUAUCCGGUUCUACAACCACCCGCUCCACUUCGUCUUCAACGACACCAAGCUGGAUGCCGUCCUGGAAGAAUUCAAACGAGGGAAGUCACAUCUGGCCAUUGUACAGAAGGUGAACAAUGAAGGUGAGGGAGACCCUUUCUAUGAAGUUAUGGGUCUUGUGACCCUGGAGGAUGUCAUUGAGGAGAUAAUUAAGUCCGAGAUCCUAGAUGAAUCUGAUGACUAUGGAGAAAAUAAGGUGAAAAAGAAACCUACUUCUCUCAGCACUCCCAUAGAGCGAAAGAAGGAGGAAUUCUCCUUGUUCAAAGGGUCUGACAAUGAGUAUAAAGUGAAGAUAUCCCCCCAACUGCUCCUGGCCACUCAACGUUUCCUCUCCCGAGAGGUGGACUUAUUUAGCCCACUACGAAUCUCAGAGAAGAUCCUGCUACACCUGCUGAAGCAUCCCAGUGUCAACCAGGAAGUGAAGUUUGAUGAAUGCAACCGACUGGCUGCAGACCAUUACCUGUACCAGCGCAAUCAGCCAGUUAACUAUUUCAUUCUCAUCCUGCAGGGCAGGGUUGAGGUGGAGAUUGGGAAGGAGGGCCUCAAGUUUGAAAAUGGAGCCUUCACUUACUAUGGUGUGUCUGCCCUGUCUGUACCAUCCUCAGUUCAUCAGUCCCCAGUUUCUUCAAUUCGGCCCAGCCGACGUGACCUGCAGUCCGAGCCAGCAGAGAGUACCCACUAUUCCUCUACAUAUUGUCCAGACUACACCGUGAGGGCCCUUUCUGACCUGCAGUUCAUUAAGGUAACUCGACUGCAGUACCUCAAUGCACUCAUGGCAUCACGUGCCCAGAAUUCCCCACAGUCUCCUGAGAACCUGGACCUUCAAAUUGUUCCCAACAGCCAGACCAAGCUACUCAAUAACAAGAUUGCUGCAGCAGCAGCCUUCCCAGUAAACAUUUCCCUCUUUGGCACAGUUGGAAACUGCAGUUGAUAGAUGACUGUGGACUAGUGAGAAUUUUUGUUUUUUAGAAAACACCCAAGGGACAACCAACAGCAGACCGAACUCCCCAACAGAAGAGAGUCUUGGGAAAAACACGAGAGUUUAAUUUCUUGCCAUGCAGCCCCAGAACUGGGGAUGGACAAGCAAGUGGGGAACUUGAGUGAGCCCAGGAGUAGCUUCAUGCCAACUUGUCCCUUUCCUUUCUGGCCACGUUUUAGGUGGCUUUUAGAGACAUGGGCUCUGGGCCUAAUGCCAGUGUUAGGAGCCUGGUGCAGAUAAGAAACCUGCCUCUUUGGGGGGAUGGGAAUCAGCUGUAGCAUCAUUCUCCAGACCCUGCUCCUGGGACAGGAGUCAACAGGGGAAUUAAAGACCAUCAUCUCGGAAUCCCAAGGUGCCCUUUCCCCCAUUUACCUCCCCCCUCCCCCCCCAAUGGAGUACUUCACAGCCUAAGGCUGUGAUAGUGGAGUAUUAUUACUUUUCGAAUGCAGAAAUUAUACUCUUUUAACAUGUGGCUGUGACCUGCAUUCACCUCGUUUUUAAUUUGCCAAGUACCUGCUGUUGGCAGCACUUUGAGAGUGAGCCAAGAACACUGCAGCCUCUGCCCAAAGCUUUGAUCAGAGGCUUUGUCUGUGGCAGUAUGCUCUGGCCUUUGAGGCUGUUCCCUUCUUCAGUGUCACAUUUUUAUCUUCCCCUUUUAUGUCUUUCAUGUGCCAAACCCAAGUACUAUAUAGUGGCAGGUGCACAGCCUGUCUAUUCCCCAAAACUCCUCCUGUGGAGGCUGCUGUUUGCCCAAAUAAAAAGAGCAAGCUUUUCCCACUCCCAGCUCUCUCUCUGAACUAAGGGUUCAGCCCAAAUUGUACUUCCCUUCCUGACUUGGUCUUGCUGCUUUAAAUUAUUAGAGGUAGUCCCUCAUGCUACACAGGUGAAGGACCCAGAUUUCUCCCUUUUCCCAGGGCUAGUUGCUAUUUACUAAUAGUAUUUUUUUUUUUUUUUGAGGUCACGUAUGGAAGGAAGGUGUGCUAUUUGAAUCUAUCCUUACUAUGAUCCCACGUCAUGGUUUUCUAACAACCUCUUGGUUCUGUUGUACCCCAGUCUUACACCUUUUGCUCCUGAUGGUCUUAUAUUCAGUAUAUAACCAACAAUGUGAUUGCCAUCCUUGGGAAGCUGGCGUAUAGAAGAGCAUUUUGAAUUUCUCUAGAGAUUCAAUCUUAAUUCCUGAUCUUAGGAAUAGAAUUUAAAAGAGGAUUACUUCUCUUCUUCACACUGGAGCUUCCUUUAAACCAACUGCUUGCCAUUAUAUGAGUAAUGGAAGUCCCAAGACCAGAGAUCACUGCCUAAAAGGCAAAGUUAGAGACCUAGUUUAGAAGAGAUUGAUCCCUUUCUGGGGUCAAGGUAAUCUGAGGUUCUUUAACUGAGUUGCUUUUUUCCUUGGUAGUCUUUCCAUCUGGAAUGGGGAACCAGAAUGGUAGGGCUGCCUGGGCAAUUAGCUGAAGCAAGUAAAAGGGGGAACAGAUUUAGCUCAAUCUUUCUUAAGAGGGAUUAUUAACAAGUCACCUAUGCACAAUAAGUCCAAAAUCCCAAACGUGGAGCAGGGGCACCCUGCACUAUGAGUAACAUCAUCCUCUCCUUCCCCCCGCACUAAGUGCUACUGGUAAAUGAUAAAUUUCUAAGCUUUAGUUGGCAGUUUUAGUGAAGCACUACAUGGCUUUGCAAUUCAGGACAAGGUAGUUAUGAUUGGAACAUGUCACACUUAAUAAUAGUUAUUUUUCAAAGCUUAGGUACCAAAAGUGGAAAAUGGAUUAUUGCUGUGAACACUUUUUCUCCAUCUUUUUUCUCUCCCUUUUCUUUUUCACACCAAUAUAGAGUAUAACCAGGCUACAAAAAGAAUCAGUUUUAAUGAAUAACAACAAAAUGGAUCCAUAUAAAAAUGUUUCAUUUGCUCUUAUUGCACUUUUUCCAUUUUCUCAUUUUAAUCACUGCCAUAAUCAUGUGACAGAACUUAUGUCCUCUGGCCCUAGCCUUGUAGACUACAAAGCCUAGAAGGCAAAGCCAGGCUGCUGGUGUGUGGAAGGUUUAUGACUUCAACCCACACGAGUGGGUUUAGUCUAUUGCUCUCAUCCAACGUGGAGAUCACUCAGCCCUUUAAGCUGAAGGGGAGUAGAAGCCUAUGAACAUUAGCAGCCACAGUGGCACUUGUCAUGUUAAGAAUAUGUAAUCCAGGCCUUUAGCCUAGGCCUGGCCCAGAGAACUUGCAUAGCAUGUAACAGGCUAAGGGAGAGGUCCUGUCCUUUUUUGGGUUUCCUCCUCCUCCUCUGUCAGUCAGCUAAAGCAAGGUUUUUGAAGAAGAGGUCUCUGGUGGAUUUGAAGAUCUCAGCCUGACCAGCAGUACUGGAUCAGCAAUACAAUAGAAAGCAGAAAACUUAGUGGUAAGGACAAUAGAAACUUGCCUUAGGAUUCCAUCUAUCAGUAUCCACUAAGAAAGGUAAUAUAAAAAGAGGAUCUCAGUUAAUCAUUCAGUGUACAAAAAUAAAUGGAGAAAGUAUCCAGAAUGUAUUCAUACUCAGUUCCAUUAUCUUCUCUGCAGCCAAACUUUCCUGUGCUUUUAGCACAAGGGAGCCUGAAAAUCCAAACCUUGCUGGAUGUAGGACAGCAGGCAUAGUUCCUUCUCUGACAAGCAGGAAAGAGAGGUGGCACCUCAACACCAUGGCAAUCUACCCCAGCACUGACUGCCAUGUCAGGGAAGCCUCAAUCCUUGCGAAUUUGGGCCACCCCUCCAUGUAUUUCAGGAGGAGGGGGGGGGCUACAAAUAACUGCAGAGCAAGAGACUGUCACACUGAUACCUAGGCCUUGGUGAAAACAGAAAGUCAUAGAAAUUCUGACCAAAACCCUGGGGCAGAGAGAAAUGACUGGGGACCAGAGUGGUCUAACCCCUAAACUGUCAGUCUUACAGGACCCUUUAGCAACCAGGUUGGUUGUGGAUCUAGGGUUUGGUUUACUGCAAGUCACAACAACCAACUCAAGAGUCCUUAAGG